GCCAGACUCCUACGGGAGGCAGCAGUGGGGAAUAUUGGGCAAUGGGCGCAAGCCUGACCCAGCAACGCCGCGUGAAGGAUGAAGGUUUUCGGAUUGUAAACUUCUGUCGCGAGGGACGAAGAAUGACGGUACCUCGUAAGAAAGCCCCGGCUAACUACGUGCCAGCAGCCGCGGUAAUACGUAGGGGGCAAGCGUUAUCCGGAUUUACUGGGUGUAAAGGGAGCGUAGACGGUCCUGCAAGCCAGAUGUGAAAGCCCGGGGCUCAACCCCGGGACUGCAUUUGGAACUGUAAGGCUAGAGUGUCGGAGAGGCAGGCGGAAUUCCUAGUGUAGCGGUGAAAUGCGUAGAUAUUAGGAGGAACACCAGUGGCGAAGGCGGCCUGCUGGACGAUGACUGACGUUGAGGCUCGAAAGCGUGGGGAGCAAACAGGAUUAGAUACCCGCGUAAA
rnacentral:rRNA from 1 species